rnacentral:lncRNA from 1 species
CAAAAACUAAAAGCUUUGCUUUGACAGCCGCCAGAAAAUUAACAUGAUCAGAAAGAUGGAGGAAGGGAAUAUAAUGUCCCCUCUGAGGCAAAACAGCAUGUCCCUUGUUUGCCUUUGCCUGGAGCAUAUGUGGAGCACUCAGACAGUUGGAUAUGAAUGGACCACCAUCCAAUAUGCAGGAACCACCAGCUCCAAGGCAAGCAGGUCCCUGGCUGCAGCAGCAUCCUUGGCAUUUGCACUCUAUGAUGAUGAACAUGGCAAGAGAAAAAACGAAUGCGAUGGGACCAGUUUUAAGGAGAAACUGAAACCUGAGAAAGCAUUUUUCUAAGGUAGAUUUUGCUUGGCUGAUUGAAGCAGUUAUGUCUUCUACCCUUUCCACUCUUCUGGAAGAGUUACUGUCUUGUGGCAAGGAUGGUUGGAUAAAGCAGGAAUCCAGUCCAAAAUUACCAGAAUUCACAGCUCCAUACAUAGCAGAAACUUGUGACAGCAUCUCCAAGAACCAGCAGCCUGACCUGUGAAGCACCAAGACAUGAUCAGUACUCCUUGCUUCAUCACCACCUGUCUCUUGGAGAAGGUGAAAAGCAGCCCUAAGAAUUACCCAUAGCUCUUACCUAACCCAGAAACAUGCACGAAUGCCCUUCCCAUUGUCUAUAGACUCCAUUUAAUAAGUCAUUAGCUCAAGCUGCAUUUCAAAAG